rnacentral:rRNA from 1 species
GACGAACGCUGGCGGCGUGCUUAACACAUGCAAGUCGAACGGAAAGGCCUGCUUUCCCUUGUGGAUUGCGGGUACUCGAGUGGCGAACGGGUGAGUAACACGUGAGUGAUCUGCCCCCAACUUGGGUAUAAGCCUGGGAAACUGGGUCUAAUUCCCGAUAGGACUGCAGGGUGGUGCCUGUGGUGGAAAACGAUUUUCUAGUGGUUGGGGAUGAGCUCGCGGCCUAUCAGCUUGUUGGUGGGGUAAUGGCCUACCAAGGCGGCGACGGGUAGCCGGCCUGAGAGGGUGGACGGCCAAAGUGGGACUGAGAUACGGCCCAGACGCCUACGGGAGGCAGCAGUGGGGAAUAUUGCACAAUGGGCGGAAGCCUGAUGCAGCGAGGCCGCGUGGGGGAUGACGGCCUUCGGGUUGUAAACUCCUUUCGACCGAGAGGAAGCCACCUGGUUGGAAGGGUGGUGACGGUAGUGGUAGAAGAAGCACCGGCUAACUACGUG